rnacentral:rRNA from 1 species
UACAGGAGGUCUCAAGCGUUGUUCGGAUUGCAUUGGGCGUAAAGGGUGCGUAGGCGGCGCGGUAAGUCGGGGUGUGAAAUCUUGGAGCUUAACUCCGAAACUGCAUUCGAUACUGCCGUGCUUGAGGACUGGAGAGGAGACUGGAAUUUACGGUGUAGCGGUGAAAUGCGUAGAUAUCGGGAGGAACACCAGUGGCGAAGGCGACUUUCUGGCCUGUUCUUGACGCUGAGGCGGCGAAAAGCU